rnacentral:rRNA from 1 species
CGCGGCCUAUCAGCUUGUUGGUGAGGUAAUGGCUCACCAAGGCGACGACGGGUAGCCGGCCUGAGAGGGCGACCGGCCACACUGGGACUGAGACACGGCCCAGACUCCUACGGGAGGCAGCAGUGGGGAAUAUUGCACAAUGGGCGAAAGCCUGAUGCAGCGACGCCGCGUGAGGGAUGACGGCCUUCGGGUUGUAAACCUCUUUCAGCAGGGAAGAAGCGAAAGUGACGGUACCUGCAGAAGAAGCGCCGGCUAACUACGUGCCAGCAGCCGCGGUAAUACGUAGGGCGCAAGCGUUGUCCGGAAUUAUUGGGCGUAAAGAGCUCGUAGGCGGCUUGUCACGUCGGGUGUGAAAGCCCGGGGCUUAACCCCGGGUCUGCAUUCGAUACGGGCAGGCUAGAGUGUGGUAGGGGAGAUCGGAAUUCCUGGUGUAGCGGUGAAAUGCGCAGAUAUCAGGAGGAACACCGGUGGCGAAGGCGGAUCUCUGGGCCAUUACUGACGCUGAGGAGCGAAAGCGUGGGGAGCGAACAGGAUUAGAUACCCUGGUAGUCCACGCCGUAAACGGUGGGAACUAGGUGUUGGCGACAUCCCACGUCGUCGGUGCCGCAGCUAACGCAUUAAGUUCCCCGCCUGGGGAGUACGG